rnacentral:lncRNA from 1 species
GACAGUUUAUUUCUAGUGUUGGAUGUUUUAACUGAAGCAUCAUUGCAUUGUUAGUAUAAAAAGCUAUAAUGCUUGCUUAAGUAUCUUCACAAAUCUUAAGUAAUCUUAAUGUACCCGAGGAAUACCUUAAACAACUCAUGAACUCAUGGUUGUUCUAUUUGUUUGUUUCUUUGCUGUUAUAUACCUCUCCCUUUCCCUUUUCAUUUCUCCUUCUUGAAUAAGCAGCAAGAGAGACUUUGUUUGUGAGAAUUAGAAUAGGAGGAUAAAUCAAUCGGGCCAAGUGAUAAAUCAAUGCAUGACUAAUAUCCAACACCCA